rnacentral:rRNA from 1 species
GAUGAACGCUGGCGGCGUGCUUAACACAUGCAAGUCGAGCGAAGCGCUUAAGUUUGAUUCUUCGGAUGAAGACUUUUGUGACUGAGCGGCGACGGGUGAAGGUACGCGUGGUAACCUGCCUCAUACAGGGGGAUAACAGUUAGAAAUGACUGCUAAUACCGCAUAAGACCACAGGGUCGCAUGACCCGGUGGUAAAAACUCCGGUGGUAUGAGAUGGACCCGCGUCUGAUUAGCUAGUUGGUGGGGUAACGGCUCACCAAGGCGACGAUCAGUAGCCGACCUGAGAGGGUGACCGGCCACAUUGGGACUGAGACACGGCCCAA